GUGAAUCAUCGAAUUUUUGAACGCAAAUUGCACUCUCUGGUAACCCGGGGAGUAUGCCUGUUUGAGGGUCAGUGUUAAUAAAAAUCGGUGCGUUGCAAUUUUUGUGAUGUUCCGGAGUUUGAGUUAUCUUAACUUCCUUCUGGGUUUUUAAGAGGCUUAAAAUUGACCUUUUUUGUGCAUUUUAGACGUACAUAAAUUUUUUUAUUCGUUUAUCUUAAUGCCAAAAUCUAUUAGAUGCGACCAUAUCGUGUGGUUUCGUGUCUAUAAAUUUUUCAUGAUUUGACCUCAAAUCAGGUAGGAA
rnacentral:misc_RNA from 1 species